AUGCAAAUUAUUUCGUCACUGUUCAACUUCUCCGUCCCACGCGUCUCGCCUACGCCGUUCCGCCCCCGUAUCGCCUAUGCCGCUCCGCCGUCUCUCCUACGCCGCUCCUCACAGAUUUCACGUCUCCUCGCCGCCGGCUGCAUGAAGACAUCCUCCGCCGUCCAUUUGCCGUCCGUUUCUCCGUCCAUUCGCCGUCCGUUUCUCCGUCCGUUCGUUAUCCGUUCUCCGUCUUCGAAACAUCCUCCGCCGUCCAAUUACGAUUCCGGUGAUGGACCUGGAUACAAGAGUAAAAUGUGGUUAGGAACGUCUUAA